rnacentral:tRNA from 1 species
AAGCAUAUAGCUUAGUGGAUUAAAGCAUUGAUCUUCUAAAUCAAAAAUCGUUGGUUCGAUUCCAAUUAUGCUUG